CUUUCAACCAACGGAUCUCUUAGGCUCUUUGCAUCGAUGAAGAACGCAGCGAGAUGCGAUAAAGUAAUGUGAAUUCGCAGAAUUCCGUGAAUCAUCAAAUCUUUGAACGCAAAUUGCACUCUUUGGUAUUCCGAGGAGUAUGCUUGCUUGAGGGUUGU
rnacentral:rRNA from 1 species